GGCCUCAGCAGAACAAAAAGGCAGAGGAAGGGCGAAUUUGCUCCCUCCUAUGGAACUGGGACAUCUUCUACUGCCUUGGGACAUCAGAGCCCCUGAUUCUCAGGCCAUCAGACUCCAGACAUCAAAACCCCUCCCAUGUAAACAGUUCUCAGGCCUUGGGACUCGGAUUGAACUGCACCACUGGCUUUCCUGGUUCUCUAGCUUGCAGACGGCAUGCCGUGGGACUUCUCAGCCUCCAUAAUCACAUUCAGGUCAUCAGGCUCAGAGAAUUUGCUGUUAUUGCCAGUCCGUCCUCACAAUGUAGAGAUCUUAUCUUGAAGCAUUAAGAGCAAGAACACUGGAGCCAGCCUGCCUGGGCUCAAACCCCAGCUCUGUGUGCCUCAGUGGAUGGACAGUUAUGAAAAUCAAAUAAGCCAGUGCAUGUAAAAUCUUAGAAUAAUGCCUAUUGCAAGAGGUGAUAGAGAUCUGGCUUCUCACAGACAGCAGAACUUCAAAAGGAAUUGAGUUAUGGAUAAUGAUGAUGAAGAGCUCAGCAGAGCCAUGAAGACCGGAAGAUAAAACCGGUAACAGAUAACCUGUGGAGCUUGUUGGCUGAGGCAGCACUUCUUUCCACUUUUUUGUUUGUUUGUUUCAAACACAGUCUCACUCGGUCACCCAGGCUGAAGUGCAGUGGCGUGAUCUCAGCUCACUGCAACCUCUGCCUCCCAGGCUCAAGCGAUCUGCCUACCUCAGGCAUCCCAAGUAGCUGGGACUACAAGCAUGUGCCACCAUGCUGGACUAAUUUUUUGUAGUUUUCGUAGAAAUGGGGUUUCAACAUGUUGCCCAGGCUGAUUUCAACCUCCUGGUCUCAAAUGAUCCUCCUACCUCAGCCUCCCAGAGUGCUAGGAUUACAGGCGUGAGCCAUUGCACCUGGCCGGUCUUUUUAUUUUUGAUAGAAAACAAAUUCCCAACCUUCCUUGCAGCUAUGUGUAGGUAAGUGACUAGUCCUGGCCCAAAGGAUGUAAGUGGAAGUGGUGAGUGCAGCUUCCGGGAAGUUUCCUUGAAAGGAUUUUUCUCCCUUAUCUUUUUCCUGCUGUCUGUGAAUGCAGAACUGAUGACUGGAGCUCAAGCAAGCCUGUUGGCUCAUGAGGUAAACAGGAGUCAUGCUUGGUGGAGCCACAAGGGAGAAAGCUCCUGACUUCUUGAAGAUUUUGUGGAGCAGAGCUGCUGUACUUUCCCUGGACGACACAUCUUCUAAUUUUUAUUUGAGAGAAAAAUAACCUUCUGUCUUUUAAAGCCAUUGUUAAUUUUGGAUUCUUCUAUUACUCAUAUCCCAACCCAAUCUGAGUAAACACAGCCUUACAAUGAGUAAAUGCAGAAUACAUUUUGAUCUAUUAAAUUAUUAAAUAAAGACAGGGUUGUCUGCAAAAGAAGGUUGUGACACAGAAAGUGUAGACCAGUGUGGGCCAAGAUCAGUGUAGGAAGAAGAGGCUCAGGAGACUCUUAGGUGCACAAUAUAAGGGAAAAAAAAUCCAGAUCAAGCCUGAGCAGACAAUUCUCUUAGCUAAAUCCAAUUAAACAUUUUCUCUGUUCUUUAAUGAUAAGAAAUUAAAAACUAACACCAGACUCUUGCUGGGUAGCACAGAAGUUCCUCUACUUAAGAACAGUUAUGUUCUUUGUAAGUCUAUUUGUUUGUGAGUCCGGAGGGAACAAGGAGUAUUUCCACUUAAUCUGAGUGUAAGUCCCUUGAAACUUUAAAACCAGCAGAUGCUGCUUCUUUAUGCUAAUAAAUAUUUUGUGGGUCUUCUUUUCUCCAAAGUAGAUCAGAUCAGUGUAGCAGGGAAAUCUGUGGAGCCAGGUAAUUCCCUCCUGCCCCCACCCUCAGCCCAUGGAGGGCCUCAGCUGCCACGAUAGCUGCAAUGUGCCAUGCCCCUACCCACUCUGGCCUGUGCAGAUUUGAAAGACCUGAAACCAAGAACCAUCCUGACACCACCACCUACCCGACCUCUGCUUCAGUUGCUUCUAUCACUGCCCUUGUCUCGUUUCUUUCAUGGUACUUACCAGCGUAAACCUUCUAUAUUUCUGUUUGUUUGUUGUCUGCUCCCUCCAUCCCCCAUUCUUCCAUAGACUAUCAGUUCCUUACAGGCAGGGACUAGCUACAUCUGUUUUAGUCACUAAUGUGUUCCCCGUAGCCAGCACAAUGUUUGGCUCAUAGUGGACACUCAGUAAAAUAGGUGACUGAGCGUGGUGGCUCCUGCCUGUAAUCCCAGCACUGAGAGGCCAAGGCAGGUGCAUAACCUGAGGUCAGGAAUUCAAGACCAGCCUGGCCACAUGGCAAAACCCCAUCUCUACUAAAAAAAUACAAAAAUUAGCUGGGUGUGGUGGUGGGUACCUGUAAUCCCAGCUACUUGGGAGGUUGAGGCAGGGAGAACUGCUUGAACCCAGGAGGUGGAGGCUGCAGUGAGCUGAGAUUGCGCCACUGCACUCCAGCCUGAACGACAGAGUGAGACUCUGUGUCAAAAAAUAAAAUAAAAUAGGUGCUGAGUGAACGAAUGAAUGAACAGUUCAGCAACAGCACCUGCAGCAUAUUCUGCCGUUUAGGUCACUGAGCUAUGUCCCAGAUCUCUCCUGAAUGAGUAUCUGGCUGAUAGGUAGCCCAUCUGGAUGCGGAUCUUGCAGUGCUCUGCUCUAGUUUUUGUGUUUGUCCUUUUUCCUCCUCUCUUGCUGAGUAUUAUGGACGGUGUAUGCACAGCACGUUGCAAGUUAAGUGCUUUGUCCUUCUGAACCACGCCUCCUUUUGGAAAACUCACAGCACAUAGAGCAACAGGCAUUAUUUUUCUCAGCACUUUCAAUCUUUCAAUUCCAUACAAUUCUCUUCUUUCAAUUCCAUAACAAUUGCACACCUUUUAUUUCAGCAAUUUAAAACGUUCACUGCCUUUGUAUUCACUGGAUACAAUGAAAUUAAUCAUGUUUGCAAAAUACCUUGGAACUAAAUAGAACCCCAGCAAGAUUGCCACUAAGAGUUAUGUGUCACUUAACGACGGGGAUACAUUCUGAGAAAUGUGUCAUUGGGUGAUUUUGUCAUUGUGUGAACAUCACAGAGUGCACUUACACAAACCUAAAUGGUCUAGCCUACUACACACCUAGCCUACUACACACACAAGAGGCUGUAUGGUAUAGCCUGUUGCUCCUAGGCAACAAGCCUGCACCGCAUGCUCCUAUGCCAAAUACUGUAGGCAACUGUCACACAGUGGUAGGUAUUUGUGUACCUAAACAUAGAAAAGGUACAGUAAAAAUAAAGUCUUAUAUCUUAUGGGACACACCUGUUUCCUGUUGUUACAUGAAACUCUGUUAUCUGGUGCAUGACUGUACAACAAAGGACUCUAUGGUCCAGACUAAAAGAACCUCACACUGCAACUACCACCACCUUUGGUGGGAGGCUGAGUUAAUGUGAUCUUGUUUUGUAGCUUUGUGUUGUUUCUAUCUAUAAAAGUUUGCAACUUGGAAAUUCAUAAGCAGAGAAGCUGUUUGUUUUAAAAAUGUGUAGUUUGUUAGGUUUAAUUAUACUUAUAAAUUCAGAGUAUUAUCUCUUUUAAUCUCUUUCCAUUGUGUGUGUUCGAACAGUCUCAUUUAUUCAUUUGUAUUGAAUUCUCAAGGUCUGGGGAUAAAAAAUUCUACUGAAUAUUGCUAUAAUUUGAUUUGUCCCACACUGUGCUCUGUAGAGUGUUAAUAGAUGUUCCCACCUAAAAAAAAAUCUGUGAUAAAAUAAAUUUAGGAACCCUGUCAUACCUUGCUCUGA